rnacentral:rRNA from 1 species
AGUUCGGAUUGGAGGUCUGCAACCCGACUCCAUGAAGCUGGAUUCGCUAGUAAUCGCGCAUCAGCCACGGCGCGGUGAAUACGUUCCCGGGCCUUGUACACACCGCCCGUCAAGCCAUGAGAGUUGGGAAUACCCGAAGCCUGUGAGCUAACUGUAAGGAGGCAGCAGUCGAAGGUAGAAUCAAUGAUUGGGGGUGAAGUCGUAACAAGGUACC